rnacentral:rRNA from 1 species
UACGUAGGGGGCAAGCGUUGUCCGGAAUCAUUGGGCGUAAAGAGCGUGUAGGCGGCUCGGUAAGUCCGCUGUGAAAGUCCAGGGCUCAACCCUGGAAUGCCGGUGGAAACUGUCGAGCUAGAGUCCGGAAGAGGCGAGUGGAAUUCCUGGUGUAGCGGUGAAAUGCGCAGAUAUCGGGAGGAACACCGGUGGCGAAGGCGGUUCUCUGGGCCUGUACUGACGCUGAGGAGCGAAAGCGUGGGGAGCGAACAGG